ACGGAAGGCAGCAGUGGGGAAUAUUGCACAAUGGGGGAAACCCUGAUGCAGCGACGCCGCGUGAAGGAAGAAGUAUCUCGGUAUGUAAACUUCUAUCAGCAGGGAAGAAAAUGACGGUACCUGACUAAGAAGCCCCGGCUAACUACGUGCCAGCAGCCGCGGUAAUACGUAGGGGGCAAGCGUUAUCCGGAUUUACUGGGUGUAAAGGGAGCGUAGACGGAAUUGCAAGUCUGAUGUGAAAGGCAUGGGCUCAACCUGUGGACUGCAUUGGAAACUGUGAUUCUUGAGUGCCGGAGGGGUAAGCGGAAUUCCUGGUGUAGCGGUGAAAUGCGUAGAUAUCAGGAGGAACACCGGUGGCGAAGGCGGCUUACUGGACGGCAACUGACGUUGAGGCUCGAAGGCGUGGGGAGCAGACAGGAUUAGAUACCCUGGUA
rnacentral:rRNA from 1 species